CCUACGGGAGGCAGCAGUGAGGAAUAUUGGUCAAUGGGCGCAAGCCUGAACCAGCCAAGUAGCGUGAAUGAUGACGGCCCUACGGGUUGUAAACUCCUUUUAUAAAGGAAUAAAGUGAGGCACGUGUGCCUUUUUGUAUGUACUUUAUGAAUAAGGACCGGCUAAUUCCGUGCCAGCAGCCGCGGUAAUACGGAGGUUCCGGGCGUUAUCCGGAUUUAGUGGGGUUAAAGGGAGCGUAGGUGGGUUGUUAAGUGAGUUGUGAAAGUUUGCGGCUCAACCUUAAAAUUGCAAUUGAUACUGGCAGUCUUGAGUACAGUUGAGGUAGGCGGAAUUCGUGGUGUAGCGGUGAAAUGCUUAGAUAUCACGAAGAACUCCGAUUGCGAAGGCAGCUUACUAAACUGCCACUGACAUUGAUGCUCGAAAGUGUGGGUAUCAAACAGGAUUAGAUACCCUAGUAGUC
rnacentral:rRNA from 1 species